UUACGGCCAUAUCAUGUUAAAAUACUAGUUCUUGUACAAUCACCGAAGUUAAGCAAUAUUGAGUCUGGUCAGUGCCUAGAUGGGUGACCACUUGGGAAUACCAGGUGCUAUA